GGGCCCGUGGCCUAGUUUGGAUAUGGCGCCGGCCUCCGGAGCCGGAGAACCCGGGUUCAAAUCCCGGCGGGCCCG
rnacentral:tRNA from 1 species